CCUACGGGGGGCAGCAGUGGGGAAUAUUGCACAAUGGGCGCAAGCCUGAUGCAGCCAUGCCGCGUGUGUGAAGAAGGCCUUCGGGUUGUAAAGCACUUUCAGCGGGGAGGAAGGCGUUAAGGUUAAUAACCUUGUCGAUUGACGUUACCCGCAGAAGGAGCACCGGCUAACUCCGUGCCAGCAGCCGCGGUAAUACGGAGGGUGCAAGCGUUAAUCGGAAUUACUGGGCGUAAAGCGCACGCAGGCGGUCUGUCAAGUCGGAUGUGAAAUCCCCGGGCUCAACCUGGGAACUGCAUUCGAAACUGGCAGGCUAGAGUCUUGUAGAGGGGGGUAGAAUUCCAGGUGUAGCGGUGAAAUGCGUAGAGAUCUGGAGGAAUACCGGUGGCGAAGGCGGCCCCCUGGACAAAGACUGACGCUCAGGUGCGAAAGCGUGGGGAGCAAACAGGAUUAGAUACCCCAGUAGUC
rnacentral:rRNA from 1 species